CUAUCUCAAGCCCAUGACUACACCCAAUUCCCAUGAAAUUCCAAUCCAAUUUUAAAUCCAAAUACCAAAAGAUUUGGUUCCAAACAGAGCGAGCUUCCAGUCUCAUUAUAUCCCACGAUCUGUUCUCCACUUGCGUUCCCAGUUUCAUUCGCCUACGAAACGGCGCCAAACCUAGCCGCCGCACCAGUCUGACACUCCUCGGCGAUCACCCACCGAUAUCGGUUCUCAUCUAUUUUCUCUCUCCAUAUCUCAACGACGACCGGCAUCCUCCACCAACAAUCCGAAAGAUGGCUCGAAACGAAGAGAAAGCUCAGUCGAUGCUCAAUCGAUUCAUCACCAUGAAGAACGAAGAGAAGAAGAAGCCCAAAGAACGCCGCCCCUUCUUGGCCUCAGAGUGCCGAGACCUUGCCGAGGCCGACAAGUGGCGUCAGCAGAUCAUGCGCGAGAUCGGCCGCAAAGUCGCCGAAAUCCAGAACGAGGGUUUGGGCGAACACCGCCUCCGAGACCUCAACGACGAGAUUAACAAACUCAUCCGCGAAAAGAGUCACUGGGAGCGCCGAAUUGUCGAGCUCGGUGGCCCUAAUUACUCCAAACAGUCUGCCAAGAUGACCGAUUUGGAAGGCAACAUCGUCGACGUUCCAAACCCUAGCGGCCGUGGACCGGGGUAUCGGUACUUUGGUGCGGCGAAGAAGUUGCCCGGAGUGAGGGAAUUGUUCGACAAGCCACCGGAGUUGAGGAAGAGGAGGACGAGGUAUGAUAUAUAUAAGCGGAUUGAUGCGAGUUAUUAUGGGUAUAGGGAUGAUGAGGAUGGGAUAUUGGUGAAGCUGGAGGGGCCGGCGGAGGAGAGGAUGAGGGCGGCAGUGGUGGCGGAGUGGAUGGCAGUGGAGGAGGUGAAGAGGGAGGCGAAGAGGGCGGUGAAGAGUGGGGAGGAGGCGAGUGUGAAUGUGAAUGCGGCGGAUAUAUUGCGUGAGGGGGAGGAGGAUGUGGUGGAGGAGGAGAGGAUGGCGAAGGAGAUUGAGGAGAGGGAGAAGGAGAGCGAGUUUGUGGUGCACGUGCCGUUGCCGGACCAGAAGGAGAUUGAGAGGAUGGUGGUUGAGAAGAAGAAGAUGGAGCUUUUGAGCAAGUAUGCAAGUGAGGAUCUCUUGGAGGAGCAGGUUGAAGCCAAAGCUAUGCUCAAUAUUCAGAGGUAGAGAUAGUGGAAAGAAAUCUAGUCUCGUUGGCUUGAUCAUUGCAUUGCUUGCUUGUCUGGACUAGGCUCAAGAUGAAUAUUGAUUGGGAAAGGAAGAUUGGAUGGUGAUGUGACCGCACUUAAACCCAAUGAAGCAGGGUUUGGAUGGUUAAUAGCUGUUUUCCACGAAUCUAUUCUCAAGUUAUAUAAUUUUUGGUAUCAUCCAAGCAUUGCAGUCCCACAGUGGAAUGCUCCUGCAUGAAAAAAUCUGUGCAAGUUAAAACUUCUGGGGGAAAAACAAUUCAUAAUUUUUAUUUUAUUUUAUCUUAUCAUGCUUUUGGUGAAUCUUUGGAGUAAAAGAAAGAACAAUGACCUUUCUGGAUCGUAUAUAAACAUCUGGAAAAGCUCAUAGGAAAGAUCUCAAUUGAGAAGUCGGAUGGACUUGGUCAUUCUGCUUAUGUACAUGGUGUAGGGUUGUCAUGUUGGAUGUAUUCACAUCUCAUAUCAUGGUAAUUUGUUUGAUUAUCAUUGCUUUACACUUUAAAGGAGAUAGGGCAUGCACUAUUGUUAUGGUUGGUUCAUGAUCUUUUGUGCUUGAUUUCUGAUUUCAAUUCUUCAAUUGUCAUCUUGGUGCUGAAAAAAUGGGGCAGGUAAUUGCUAAAUUUUAUCGACAAGGUUCUUGGUGUUAUAUAUGUAGUUAGUAUUCUUGUAAACUAGUAAUUUUUAGUUUCAUUUAGACCCAAUACAUAAUUGCUAUAAGUUGAAAUGAUC